AAUAAGCAUCGUCCCCUUCUCCCUUAUCCAACCUUUCCUUUGUUUUAGGGCACAGUUCAAUCAGACCCAUUUUCCUCCCAAAUCGAGCACAUCAACCAUCUAAUCGAGCUCGAAAAUUGCAAAUUAGUGACAAGCAAUACGCCAUUUUACAAAUUAAUGGAGGCCCGGUAGUGAUUCGCGGAAUCUACAGUCGUGAGGAAGAUGGGCAAAUACACGGUCCGAAGAACAGAGAAAGCUCGCCUUUGUCAGGAGAGAUUGGCGGAGUUACUGAGGUCUGUCACUAAAGGACAAAGAUUCUCGAUUGAGGUAUUUGUUGAGGGCCUCCCAUCUCCAUAGCUCUAUUCAUUGCCACCGUUUUCUUUAAGACCCAGUCGACCUCUGCUUCUGAGAUCCAUCUGCAGUCGAGUUCUGCUCCGACAAGUGUAUCCAUCAUAACUCCUAAGGGUGAGAAUAUCCUCAAGUGGAUUGAUAAGAUGGAGUUGGCUUUCAUUCAUAUCAUGCUUGACAAGUUGAAAUGGAGCCACAACACAUCUCGGAAGCAAAGGGAUUAGGAUGAGAUGAUGGUGGAGAUGGAAAAGUAAUUUCCCGAUGAGCAACUGUGCUCCUAGAAGAUAAAGAACAAGGCGAUGAGACUGAAGACCAUGUACAAGCAAUUCACUGAAUUGCUUGACCAUACUGGAGUCGGAUAGGAUGAAGACACCAACACUAUCAAGAAUAGGGCCUUUAAGACAUUUCAAACCAAAGGCUGUAAGCACUACUGCCUGCUGAAUGAGCUUUUCAGUGCUUCAACUACUACCGGUGCUCUCUGCAUCUCCUUGACCAAUCGACCGAGGACUUCAGAUGAGGAACGACAGCUGCAUAAGAAAUUUCCAUCAACAUCAAAGAAAAAGCAUAAACAACAUGUCAACCUCGAAGAAGGCUCUGGCGAGAGUGACGACUCGUCUAGGUUCAAGAGCCUAUUAUAUUUGAGUCCCAAUGUCGAGUGCAUAAAAGACCUUCAUCGACAAGCUCACAACUGCAUUAGUGCAUGAACUCGUUCAAGGCUAGUUUCAAACGAAAGCCAAAGAGCACCCCACCAUCGUCAAAGAGAAGCAAGUCCGUUUCAAGCCCUGAGAAGACUGAGAGGAAUAACAUCGAGGAAGCCAUGGUGGAGUUGGAUAAAUUGAAACCGACAAUCCCAAUUAAAUCGUAUAUAGAUGGCAGCUUAGCUUUCUUUGAUGACAAAAUGAGGAGGCUUUUCAUGUACUACGCGGAAGACGCAUGAAGGGAAUGGCUACAACAUCUUUCUGACUCUUGAAUGAGCUCGAGAUACGGUUUUACGUUUAGUUGAACUUUUUCGAUAAUCUCAUUUCUUUUUCUUUGUUAUGACAUUACUCAUACUGCUAUGUUUGUUUUGUGUGUUUUGUUAUCUUGAAUUGAUUAUGUUUUAUGUGUGCUUGGAAUUUUUUUAUUUUGU